AAUGUGGCAGAGCAGAGAGGGGAAUGAAAUCCCUAGCCGCACCUCAUUGCAAAUCGGGCCUGGCAUCUCUCUUCCUCUCCCUCACCCCUUCCUCUCCACCACCGGCCGCCGCCGCGGCCAGGCCGGCGUAGCGGUGCGCCACCCAGCCAUCCAUCCAUUCCAUCUCCACAACGCACCUCCAGCACCAUCUCCUUCUCCUCCCCGAAUCCAUCCAUCUAUCCAUCCACCACGCCAUCACAUCACCAGCACCCCUCACCACCAGCGCCAUUACUCCACUUCCUCUGCUUCCCUUCUUUUCUGAACCUCAACGCCUUCUGCUGCUGCUCCCUCUCUCAACGCCUCCUGCUGCUGCUCCUUUCUUCUUUCACCCCUCCCUGCUGCCCUUCUACUCUUCCUGCUGCUGCUCUUCUUGCGACCCUGCUGCUGCUCCUUCCUCCCUUACGUCGCUGCUGUUCUUCUCUUUCUCUCUGUACCUUGCUGAUGUCCCAUCUCUCCUAGCGCUGCUGCUGCACUUCUUCUGAAGCCCUCUCCUCACACCCGCUGCUGCUUCUUUUCUCCCCACGCCUCUUGCUGCUGCUCCUAGUAUUUCUGAACCACAAAUCUGCUGUUCUUCUCCACCAAACCAAACCUGUUGUUGUUCUCUUUGUGUGUGUGUGUGUGUGUGUGUGUGUGUGUGUGUGUUUGUGUGAUUCAUAAAGAAAUAUUGUUGUGUGAAGAUGAUAUUUGUUCAGUCCGAAGACAUGUGUUGUUCUUACUUACUUUGUUGAUCAGUAGAGUCUGUACUGUUGCAUUGUGACACUCAUUUCUAUGUAUGAGAACUAGUUAAAUAUAUUAAUAAUGUACUGCACUUGCUAAUUAGUGUCCAGUUUACUGUAGACUGUUGCUCAAGUACUUGUGAUAUAUGAAUAUGUGCGUGUGAAUGUGAUGUGAAACAUUUCUAUUCUAUCCUAUAAUUUUGUUUCUUCCCUCUUUUGCAUGUCAAUAGUUAAAAGUGUUCAUGUCCUGUUGAUUCCCUUUCGUCAUUGAUGUUUGUCUGUGUUAGUGUUUUAAUUUCUCAAGCCUAAUAAAAAUACCAAAAAGAUAGUGAGUAUGUUCUGUAUCUUCCUUUGCUGUUUGUAUUUUCUUUUUUGACAAUCUUCGGGAACAACCUUGUUUAGUUUAGGUUUAUUUUCUUGCAUUCGUAAUCAGAAUUGUGUUACCUAGAUUUAGCCGAGCAUAGUUGCCGUCGCCUAGUCCUUGUGGGGAGCACGACACUCGCGAUUUGGGUGAAAUAUCCCACUGCCACUACAAUCGAUCAACAGAUAAACAAGGCAUUUGCUCGAUAACUGAAAAAAUGCUCACUCCAACCAACCUAACAACCAAAUACAGAUAAACAAGGCAUCUACUCACUAUAAACAACCAAAUAUAGCCAUCCGUGAAACUGAAGUGGACAAUUCAUACUUAAACAUCACAUAGACCUAUUGAACAAUACAUUUUUGCAUAACUGGAAUAAUUAAACACGGCACAGUUAAAGCAUCGCACGGCAAAUGCUACUACAACAAAGGGUACGGGUUGGCAAGCUAGAAAAGGUAAUAUUUGCUGAUAGAAUUUUGCCUCACAUUUCAUGGAUGGGAUCCUUCCAGUUGGAAGAGCACAGACCCAUGGUGCGCUCUCUAAUGUCAUCGAUGGGCUGUUUCACCUUGGAAGAACCUUUGUGGGUGCCCUCCUCGUGGUCGUGGUCGAUGAGAUCUGACUUGGCAAUUGAGGAUCCCAAGCCGCUGUCGUAGAACGUGUCCUUCAGAAGUGACAAAAUGAGCUCGAUGGCGUAUAAAGCUCGUAAAUCCUUGACCACUUGGCGGAGGAGAUCAGCGGCAGGGCCGUCGAAGAGAUUGACGGCGGUUGAACCAGAGGGGUUGGGGAUGGACCACUUAACCUGUGACAUGGCCCACGUGAAGCCGUCAGUGUGGACGAGCUUGAUGUCGUAGCCAGCUUUCCCGAGAUACAGUAAUACGCUAGCCCGCUGACAUGAAGCCUUCGGCAUGGCAACGUAGUCAAUGUCUUUGCCGGCUUCCGCGGCGACGUGUUGCUCCGGGAUCGACAGGUCGGGGAGAAGCGGCCACCUCGCCAACGUCCGUCAGAGAGGCCAUGAUAAACCUCUUCUUGGCCGAACGCUCGUCGGGCUCCCCGGGAUACGUGGUCGAGAUUAGGCUGCGACAUUCUGGAGCAGGGGAUGUGGAUCUGGCGGGGAGGGACAUUGCAAGCCUCAUCUAAAAACUCAGAGGAGUGGGGCGACGGUAUGGGAAUCGCUGGAUAACCUGAACUUUAUUAUCUAAGCUAGGAGGAACGGGCAGACCGGCAGGGUUGGCGGCGGCGCCGGCGGCGGCCGCGAGCUAGAGUUUGAAGGGGGGUGGGGGACUGUGGAGGGGGGGUGGUGUUUGAGGAUACGCCGCGGCUACUGAAAAUUUUAGUAAUGGUGGGUGGAGAUGGUGGUGGACGAGGGGCAGAGGGAAGGCGACGGUUCAAAUGCCUCGGCUACUAAAAUUUUACUAUAAGGUCGGUGCUGGAGGAGUGUGGGUGACGGUUGAAGUACGGCGGCUACUAAAUUUGGGUAAAGGAAUUGAUGUGGGGCGGGAGUGCCCAAGAUCGCACACGGUCCAAUAACUAUAUGCGUGUAUGAUAAUAAGGAAAAGUGGCGCGGAUCCGCCAAUUUUUGCAACGCUCAAGGCGGGUAGUUUGUUUUUUAUAUUUCUAGCUCGCUGGUCUAUCGCACACGGUUCGUCCUAAUUUCCAAAUAAACUUACCCGCCUUUAGCUUCCACGGGUGGUGGUUUUACAGCGCACUUGCAUCGCACAUGGUUAAGCCAGUACCUCCACCCUUUGCUCGCGCUUGCGCGGUCGUGGUGAUUUCAGCGCACUUGCAUCGCACAUGGUUGAGCCAGUACAUCCACCCUUUGCUCGCGCUUGCACGGUCAUGGUGAUUUCAGCGCACUUGCAUCGCACACGGUUGAGCCAGUACCUCCACCUUAAUUUGCUCGCACUUGCGCGGUCGUGGUGAUUCACAUCGCACUUGUAUCGACACGAUUUAGAUAUUAUACCCCGUGUCCGUUGAGGAUCAUCGGAGUCUUUGCAGCAAAAAAUAACGUUAGGGAGGGUCAAAAGACAGCCACACCAGCAUGUGGCCCAAAUAUAUAUGAGUGAAAAGGGUGGUAUGUGAUAUUCAAAAUUCCAAUGCACAACUUUGACCCCGCGGGCCCACGUUUGAGCGCGUCAUUGAAGAUCGAUGAGAGGGGCCAGAAGUCAAGAACCACCUGGAAGUGGCCAAAUAUAUGUACGAAUAUUGGGGAUGUUUAAAAAUUUAAAUACACAAUGCAUAACUUUGGUGGCACCUGCCUCGCAAAUCCGAAAGCACCCUAACAACCACCUAGCUAGGAUAUAUAUAAUGACAUAAUGUCGUACCUAGCUAGGAUGCUUGGCCCACCACCUCCCACUUCGUGUCAGCGGGGCGGAUGCACGUAAUGAUCGAUACUUUGGUCAUACAUGCAUGUCGCCAUGACCUACCAUAACACGGACCAAUGAAUAUUUUGUUUGGUCAAAUGAUAGUUGUUGUUGUCGAUAAACCGCUUGGGCCAAUAGAUUGAACCAUGAUAAACAUCGCAUGAGAGGGACCACAAAACCAGCACCUCUUGCAUGCGGCCCAAAAUGAUGUACGUUGGAAAGGGGUGAUGUGUGUUUUCAAUAUAGAAUAAUGUACAAUUUAGAUGUGGUGCCUACCUCUCGAUACAGACAACAACCAUGAAGGCAAGGUAGUUAAGGACAAGAUACGUACGCAGGGUUUGAUGUAGGUUGAACCCAGCAAUUCAAGCAUCUGGGAGGGAAUCCUGACAACGCAUGAGCUCGAGCUUUGGUUGACCGACAUUUGACGGUGAUCGACCCUAACAUGAACUAGGAGGAAUCCAUUCAUGGCCAACACAUACCCCUCAUUAUCGGUCAAAGGGAUGAUAUAUAUACACUCGGGGAGCCCACAGAUAUCCGUGUCGUCACAAAAAACCGCAAAAGGGAGACGUGGUCGAUCAGAAGACCCCGUAUACACUACAUGCGGCCCAAAAAUAUGUAUGGGUACGAUGGUGUAUGAUGCGUUUAAAUCCCAAAUGCACAACUUCGAUGGGCCACGCCAAGUACAUUACAAACCGAACACCGUAGCCGACUCCAAGCCUGGUUCAAUACCUAUGAUGUCAGCUUCCCAACUUCGAGGCGGCAGCGAGGGGGGGGGGUCAUCCCACUUAUGCGCUCAAACUUUAUUUUGUUAGCAUGGGACACAUCUAUAUAUAUCUAUACAUCUAUACAUCUAUACACAUAUAUAGUGUGCGAAUAACUAUGAAGUUGCUCGUUGGAUGAAGCCAAUCCGACGGUACAGAGAUGGCAAAUCCGAGCACUACUGGCCAUUGGAUAUCAUAUACAUUCCACCUGAUUCUGCCACAUGUACAAUCUAGAAGACUCCAUGGUUGAACUUAAGCAUAAUGCACAAACCUCUAAACACAAGCACUUCUCCUUUGUUCUCUAGAAUCUUCCAUAUCUUAAUUGCCCAAACCUUUUUUUUCUAAAUGAAUUGUCACUUUUUGUUUUUACCUUUACAAUGCACAAUUCCAUGAAUCUUAAAAUAAUUUUUUACAAAAUUAAUUGAUUUUGGAUGAGAUGAACUAUAAGAAUUAAACGAACAUCUACAUCAUGCAUAUCUGGGAGAAGAGGCGGGAAACCGAUGAGAGGAGUGGCGAGAAACGGUAGCCUGUUUUGAAUGAAAACCUAGUAGAGAAGGAAGCGUGAGCUACACGAUGCAUGCACACAGUGCUUACCCAUUUACUGCAUGUGCUGUCGAAAGGGCUCAGGGUUGCCGUUCGAUCUAGGAGCAUCCAACGGUGCACACGUACGAUCCGUGGGGUUUGGGUUCUGGCCAGUCAGAACGCAGGACUCAGAUCGCGCGGGCAGCGGGGGGGGGAAUAUCACACGGAAACCAACAUUCGGUGGAAACCGGUGAAAACCACGAGAAAAAAUAUGUUUUGAAGUUUCAAAAAAAAUUCAAAAAAAUGCGGGAUGUUAAGAGGAUGAUGUUUUAUUAGCACACAAAAUUUCAAGUUGAAACACAUUAAGAGAUGUGAGCUAUGAAAAAGACAAAAUCAGUGUUGAAUAGUGCUGAAUAGUAAUGUCACUAUUCAGGGCGGAAUUUGUCUUCUUCAUAGCUCACAUCUCGUAAUGUUUUUCAACUUGAAAUUUUGUGUCGCAAUAAAACAUCACCUUCUUAACAUCCCACAUUUUUUCCAGAUUUUUAUGAAACUUUAAAAUAUGGUUUCCACGAAGUUUUCAUUGAAUAUCGGCUUUCGUGAGUGAACCGUGUGCUAUUUGAAAACAUUUCGUGAGAAUAAUCUUGGUUUUUAAAUCCCCGUAAAUCCAAAACUAAGCUGGAAAUCAUGAAACCUGCCAUGGUAUCACGACAUCGCACUUAUAUGUCGAGGAAUUUUUUUCGUCCAUUGUGGCACAAGUUUUAUUACAAGCCUCUUAUAAAUCGGAGCUUCUCUCAUAGAAGCCUCGUGGUUCCGAUAGGGAAACGUGUCCCCCUUGUGGGCGAAACGUAAUCACUGCCUCUUUUCACCUUGUAUUUUCUUCUACGGGCAACAUGGAAUGACAGGAUAUCUGUGCUGAAAUUUAAACUUAUUCAGGGUUCAUUUGGCCUUUUUAUACACUAACUGAGCUUCCUAGGCAUUUAAUGUCCAUAAUUCAAAUCUGAACUACAAAUACAUGCUCCAGUUCACCAAAAUGGCUAGAAAAAUUUACAUGUGUCCUUGGGUGCAUGUUUAGGUCCCAUGCCAGGAAUGGGAACGAAUUACAACCGUGCUGGUGUCAUGGCUCGUACUCAAACAUUUCGAAUCUCGGUUUUUAAGUCCCCAUAAAUUCUAAACUCACCAGAAAGUCAUCAAAGGUGGCAUGGUGUCACGUCAUGGCACAUAUAUGUCGUGGUAAAAACAUUGUCCAAUUUGGCCAAGCUUUAUUACAAACCUCUUACAAAAACUGGAGCUUCUCUCAAAGAAGCCUCGUGGUUCUGAUAGGGAAACGUGUUCCCCUUAUGGGCGAAACGUAAUCACUUCCUCUUUUCGCCUUGUAUUUUCUUCCAUGGGCAACAUGGAACCACAGGAUAUCCAUGCUGAAAUUUAAACUUAUUCAGGGUUUGUUUGGCCUUUUUAUACACUAAUUGGGUUUCCUAGGCAUUUAAUGUCCAUAAUUCAAAUCAGAACUACAAAUACAUGCUCCAGUUCACCAAAAUGGCUUGAAAAAUUAUACAUGUGUCCUUGGGUGCAUGUUUAGGUCUCUGAUACGUCUCCAUCAUAUCUACUUUUCCAAACACUUUUGCCCUUGUUUAGGACUCUAACUUGCAUGAUUUGAAUGGAACUAACCCGGACUGACGUUGUUUUCAGCAGAGUUGCCAUGGUGUUAUUUUUGUGCAGAAAUAAAAGUUCUCGGAAUGACCUGAAACUUCACAGAGAAUAUUUUUGGAAUUUAUAAAAAAUACUGGCGAAAGAAUCAAGACCAGGGGGCCCACACCCUGUUCACGAGGGUGGGGGCGCGCCCCCUAUCUCGUGGGCCCCCUGAGGCUCCACCGACCUCAACUCCAACUCCAUAUAUUCACGUUCGGGGAGAAAAAAAUCACAGAGAAGGAUUCAUCGCGUUUUACGAUACGGAGCCGCCGCCAAGCCCUAAUCACUCUCGGGAGGGAUGAUCUGGAGUCCGUUCGGGGCUCCGGAGAGGGGAAUCCGUCGCCGUCGUCAUCAUCAACCUUCCUCCAUCACCAAUUUCAUGAUGCUCACCGCCGUGCGUGAGUAAUUCCAUCGUAGGCUUGCUGGACGGUGAUGGGUUGGAUGAGAUUUACCAUGUAAUCGAGUUAGUUUUGUUAGGGUUUGAUCCCUAGUAUCCACUAUGUUCUGAGAUUGAUGUUGCUAUGACUUUGCUAUGCUUAAUGCUUGUCACUAGGGCCCAAGUGCCAUGAAUUCAGAUCUGAACCUAUUAUGUUUUCAUGAAUAUAUGUGAGUUCUUGAUCCUAUCUUGCAAGUCAUUAGUCACCUACUAUGUGUUAUGAUCCGGUAACCCCGAAGUGACAAUAAUCGGGACCACUCCCGGUGAUGACCUUAGUUUGAGGAGUUCAUGUAUUCACUAAGUGCUAAUGCUUUGGUCUGGUACUCUAUUAAAAGGAGGCCUUAAUAUCCCUUAGUUUCCAAUAGGACCCCGCUGCCACGGGAGGGUAGGACAAAAGAUGUCAUGCAAGUUCUUUUCCAUAAGCACGUAUGACUAUAUUCAGAAUACAUGCCUACAUUACAUUGAUGAAUUGGAGCUAGUUCUGUGUCACCCUAUGUUAAACUGUUGCAUGAGGAAUCGCAUCCGACAUAAUUAUCCAUCAUUGAUCCAUUGCCUACGAGCUUUUCACAUAUUGAUCCUUGCUUAGUUACUUUUCCGUUGCCACUGUUACAAUUACUACAAAACUGCUACUGUUACUUUUGCCACCGUCACCGUUACUUCCAUACUACUUUGCUACUAAAUACUUUGCUGUAGAUAUUAAGUUUUCCAGGUGUGGUCGAAUUGACAAUUCAGCUGCUAAUACUUGAGAAUAUUCUUUGGCUCCCCUUGUGUCAAAUCAAUAAAUUUGGGUUGAAUACUCUACCCUCGAAAACUGUUGCGAUCCCCUAUACUUGUGGGUUAUCAAGACUAGUUUCUGGCUCCGUUGCUGGGCAGCAUAGCUCUAUUCUUUGAGUCACUUGGGAUUUAUAUCUGCUGAUCACUAUGAGGAACUUGAAACACGAGAAAACCAAGAUUUAUCCCUCAACUACGAGGGGAGGUAAGGAACUGCCAUCUAGCUCUGCACUUGAUUCACCUUCUGUUUUGAGUAAACUUGCGACACCUAAACCUGCUUCUGCUCUUAAUUCUGAUAUGUCGCAUGUUAUUGAUGAUGCCACUUCUGCUAUGCAUGAUACUUAUGAUGAAACUACUUCUAUGCUUGAUAAUACUGUGCCACUAGGUGAAUUUCUUGAUGAACAACUUGCUAGGGCUAGAGAGACUAAAAUUAUUGAAACUGAUAAUAUCGAUGAAACUGAUGAUGAAGAUUCUCCCCCUAGAUACGAAUUGCCUGUUGUACCUGAGGGUUAUGUUAUGGAUGAACAAACUGCUACAGAUUUUCUUGCUUGCAAUUAUAGAUAUGAUCUUAAGAAAUUAUUAGCUAAGCUGAAAGAAAAAUCUUUGAAUGCUAGAAUGAAAUAUGACCCUGCUUUUGUGUGACGCCUGGAUAAUUAAGCUACAAUAAUCCUAUGUUAAUGGCGCCAGGUCAUCGCGAUUACUGUUGUUAAACUCGCGUUGGUUCGAAUCCAGUCCAUCCGGUCCAAAUUCAAAAUUAAAAUCAAGUCCAACUUUAAAAGUUUUCAAAUGUCAAAAGUAAAAUGUUCAUCAUGUGGCAAAUAUUCAUUUGUUAAUAUUGGUUGUGUGCCAACAUUUUUGUAAAGUGUUUUAAUGCACAACAAUAACUAAAACAGUGGCUUAAGCAAUUAAUUGAAAACCUUUUAUAAUUUAUAAAAUAACAAACUAAGUUAUUUGAGUACCAAACUUUCUGUGGCAGUGCCGAAUAUUGCAAUACUAUUUAUGUGGCCAUCGACACGUUUUACAAAACUCGUUUGCUAACAAUUUAAUAUGCAAAAUAGAGUUAUAAAAGGUAAAUAGAAAGCAGAAAAGGGAGAGAGGUACUACUGGCCACUUUGGCUCAGCUAGCUACACAAAAGGCCCAGCUCACCCCCUCACCUGUGCUGUUUCUCUCGCUACAGGGGACAGGGGGGCCGUGGCGCUCAUCCGCCGGCCAUAUCGUGCGUGGCGGCCAUCCUCCGCCUCCCAGAUGGCUACAAGGGCACCCCAAGUCCCUCCUCUCUCCCCCCGGUCGAACCCUAGCCGCCACUACUUCCCCCCUCGCGCCGUUGCUCGCUUCCCCGCACACACCCGAAGCUAUCGUCGUCGUGCCAUCAUCACCGUCGCGGCCACCGCCGUCGCCUUUGCACAGGAUGACGUCCACGAGGACCGCGGCCGUCAGCUUCAUCCGUUCCGGGCUUCAGCUCAAGACGGGGCGGCUCGUACGCUCGCCAUCACCGUCUCCUUCGUGGCGUACAUCGCCGGCCGCCGGCGUUGAUUCCCACCGCUUCGGUCCACCCCCGGCUUCCUCGUCUGUGCACCCGAGCUCGCUGUGAGCUCCUCUUCCAAAACCCCCUAUCCCCCUCUCGAUUUCGUCGCCGUAGCCGCCGUCCCUAACUCGUCCGAGCUCCCGCGUACGCGUAUGCGUACGCGUACGUGGUGCUCCUGCCCAUGGCCACGCCUGCUUGCUGCUGCCGCACGUUUGGGCCACGCCCCUGCCUGGCCCUGGCGCCGCACUCGCCGCGCCCGCAUCCCGUGCUCCCCGCGCUCGCCCCUGUCCCCUGUGGUCAUGCCUUGGCCGCGCACUGCGCGUGUCCGCCCGCGCUUGGCUGCCUGCCUCUGGCUAGGACCGCGCCCCUCUUGGCCACGCGUGCGCGCCCGCCGCCGCUCGGCCGCUCGCGUGUUGUGCUGCGUUCUGCUGCUGUCGCUGCAUACGGCUGCUAGCUGCUCAACCCUGCUCCCCGCUGCUGCGUUGCUAUGCUGCUGCAUGCGGCUGGCCAUGGCAAGGCCAUGGCCGGGUGUGCCUGUGUGUGUGCGUGAGUUGUGUGGAUUAAUUAGAGUAGGAUUAGUUUAGUGCUAAAUUAGUAUACUAACAAAUGACAUCGGUCCCCUUCAAUUAGAUUAAAUAAAUCAUUUUAGAAAUUUAACAAAAAUCUGACAUGUGGGUCCCCUGUCCAGUUUGACCAGUCAAACUAUUGAAUUGACCCAGUCUAUGACAUGUGGCCCCGUUUGACCCUGUUGACCAGUGAAUAGUUGACUAGUCAACUGUUGAUUGGACACCCCUGGACCCCACCAGUCAGCCUUUGUGGCUAGCACAGAGCUGGGUACACGUAGCAAUUUGUUAUUUAUUUUCGAACUAAAAUAAUUUUAGAAUAUUGUUAAAUCUUUGAAAAAUCAUAUAAAAUAAACCGUAACUCCGAUGAAAAAGUUUUAUACAUGAAAGUUGCUCAGAACGACAAGACGAAUUGGAAUAUAUGGUCCGUUCGUCCGCCACACAUCCCUAGCAUAGCGAACAUGCAACUUUCCCCGUCUGUUUCAUCUGUCCGGAAAUACCUAACUUCAGGAAAGCGUUCUCGGAUGUUUCCCCCUUCGCCGGUAUCGCGUAGUACUGUGUUAGAACACCCCUAGCGUUGCUUAUUGCUUGUCAUGUAUCUUGUUUGCUCUGUAUUUAUUGUUUCUUCCCCCUCUUCUCUCCGGUAGACCCCGAGACUGAUGCUGCCCCUGUGAUCGACUACGUCGACGACGACCCUUCUUCUCUUUUAGCGGAGCUUCCAGGCAAGCCCCCCCUUUGAUCAUCCUGAUAUCGCCCAUUCCAUUCUCUCAUGCUUGCGUUAGAUUUUGCUACUGUUAUUGUUUGCUCCUAUUCUGAUGCAUAGCCUGCUUUUGGUAACCUGCUUAUUGUUACCUACCUGCUUAUCCUAAACUACUUAGUAUAGGUUGGUUAGUGAUCCAUCAGUGACCCCCACCUUGUCCUUGUUGCCCCUGCUUCAUCAUCGAAGACCCGAUCAACGGGAUCGAAGACCGCCCCGGCACCGCACAUCACUUUCCCCUUAGUUGCUCGACACUACUGGGUUACUAUCGAGUGCCGAGGGUGAGACCUCAUCAGCACUUCUGAUGUUAACCCUGUAGUGUAGCUAUCCGGUCGUGGUCAUCGAGGGUGAUUUCCUCCUUAACCACUUCCGAUACGGCUCUGUCGUGCAACCCCUCAAGUGUGAACCUCGAGGGUGGAUCCUCUUACGUUCACCUUGAUGAUUACAUCGAGUGGAAUUCACCGGGGGUGAUUCCUCGGGUUUUCCCCUUGAUGUUUGGACACACGGAUACUUGGACUUUACAACUGUUACUUGGAAAGGCGGGUCGACCCUGAGGGGUACCCGCGAGUGAUGUGGAGACGGGUUGACCUGGAGGGUGCCCGCGAGAUAAUUAUGAGGCGUGGCCGGGCAUUCUUAGCCCUUGCCGCAAGUCCUCGAGACGGGGCGACGGGGUCACAUCUUUUGUGAGUCUCUGCUUGUUACCGCGCAUUCCUAAUCCAUUAUGAUUUGGAUAUUUGAUCCGAGGGGCCUCUGGCCUGAUCACACUAACCAUCACGUGGGCAUAGUAUGGGCGUUCUGCGUCGUAUGCAUCAGCCAAAACUUAAUAGAUGUCAGUGACUGAGCGACGCACGCCGGGUUGGACUGGUAAGCACCUGCCUUUUUGAAGGAGGUAGCUAGGUCUGCUCACCGGCCGCGUUCGCAACGUGCAGGAGUUCCCGGGGCGGUGGCCCAUGACCCCUGGGGGCAUAGGUUUAGUCCGACGUGCUGACCUCUCUAUUAAGCCUAGGUCGGGUUGCGGCGUAUUGUUUGGCCGAGGCCGGGCAUGACCCAGGAAAGUGUGUCCAGCCGGAGUUAAUCGAGCGUGGUGGGUAAGUUGGUGCACCCCUGCAGUGAAGAAAACAUCUAUCGAUAGCCUGUCCUACGGUAACGGACACUUGGAGUUGUAUCCCGAUCGAUACAACUAUAAUUGGAUACUUGAGAUGAGACAUGGAUAUGAGAAAUGGAUAGUAUGGCUCUGGGAUUGCUUUCUCGCAGGGAGUCGAGAAAGGAUCUCUGGCCGAGGUUGAUAACACUACUACUACUUUACUUUAUGCUACUAUACUCCCUCCUGUUGCUGCAAGAUGGUGGUUUCCAGAAGAUGCUAGUCUUCGAUGGGACUAGCUUCUCCCCCUCUUAUUCUGGCAUUUCUGCAGCCCAGUCCACAUAUACAGCCUUCCUUUGAUAAUGUUGCAUAUGUAGUGUAGAUCCUUGCUUGUGAGUACUUUGGAUGAGUACUCACGGUUGCUUUGCUCCCCCCUUUUCCCCCUUUCUUCUUCUUUCCGGUUGAUGCAACCAGAUGGUGGAGUCCAGGAGCCAGACGACACCACAGACGACUACUGGGGUGCCUACUACUACGUGAGACCGCCGACGACCAGGAGUAGUUAGGAGGCUCCCAGGCAGGAGGCCUUGCCUUUUCGAUCAUUGUUGCUUUUGUGCUAGCCUUCUUAAGGCAAACUUGUCUAACCUAUGUCUGUACUCAGAUGUUGUUGCUUCCGCUGACUCUUGUGUAUUCGAGCUUAUGUAUUCGAGCCCUCGAGGCCCCUGGCUUGUAAUAUAAAACUUGUAUUAUUUUAAUUUGUGUCUAGAGUUGUGUUGUGAUAUCUUCCCGUGAGUCCUUGAUCUUGAUCGUACACAUUUGCGUGUAUGAUUAGUGUACGAUUGAAUCGAGGGCGUCACAAGUUGGUAUCAGAGCCGACUGCCUGUAGGUAGCCCCCUUUCCAACUCCUUGGCCGAAGUUGAGUCUAGUCACUACAAAAACUUUUACUAACAUGGUUGUGUGUCUUACGGGCCCACGUUGCCAUUGGGUGGUAUUAGGAUCUUUUACUCCUCGUCUAUACUCUGGGACUCUAAUCUCUCUUCCAUUCGGGUUAAACAUUUUACUAACUCUGACAUUAGGUUCUCGUACCCACUUCCUCCCGGAGAGCCCCGACAUUAUCGAUGAUCGCUUGCUUCGCUAGAAGAUUCUGCGGAUACUCCUCGAUGUUUCUCGAGACCCUGUGCCAACUGCCUUGCAGUUCCUGACCACCGAUAAUCCCCGUGAAUAACAUCCUUGCCGCCUGUACCUUCAUCCCCAGUUGCUCCUAUUAUUACAAGAUACCCCUAGUACUCUUCGUUGUUCCGAGAAUCCUUUGUGCCUUUUGCUUUGCAGCUUCUUUUCGCAUUGCGGAUAAUUCACUUAACCAGGGUUCGUUCAUCCCCAGUUGUUCAUAUGCUUUCCAAAAUACCUGAAAAUGCUAUCUGAUCUUUCAAAAUCCUCAGCAGCCUAUUGCUCUUGAUUCUCCUUGCCUGCUUGCAUUAGGAUUAAUUCCAUAUGUCUAGCAAUAUUCUUUAAAAUUCUUUGUGACAGUCAUUCUGUUCCUAUGUAUUCAGCGUGUGUGCGAAUCGCAAUCAUCAAUUAAUCCUUGGAAAUUUUCUUUCCGGCUCAGAGAUCCUCCCAGAUAUGAGCUGGUUCUUGCCCAAUCCAGAUUUGAUCGGGUGCACCAUCAGGUGCACCUCUAAGUCUAUUCAACGUACUCAUCUUUUGAUCAGAGCCUCUGCUUCUGAUCCUUCGUCUUUAAAUCAUUAUUCCUUUGUACCCAAGCAUCGAAUCAUUCACACGUUUCUAUAAGCCGAUGCCUUUGCAUCCCCUUCUUCAUCUGAUUGAUUACCGAUACUCACAUAAACUCUGUCAUGAAUCGCCAGAUCCAUUGCUGGGUUGUUAUCCGAUCGUGUCCUUCACAUCCAAAAUCUUGUGAGUUUUUCCCUGAUACAUAAUACCUUCGGUAAAUGGUAUCAUCUGCUUUGACUUUGAUACUCUGCUUUCGAACUCGUAUCUUUUGCUUGGUUGAUGGUUGUAUAGAUUCGUAAAAAUGCCCCGAUGGGUUGAACUUAUGCCUUCCAUAAUCCGUGUGAACCCGAGAUUUCUCACGGUCUUACUCUUCUGGUACUUCGCCAGAUAAAUCUUCCGCACUACAAUUUCUUCAAAAACGAGGAGUGAAUGAAAGGUUAUGCAUUGAAGAAGUGGGAGUCGACCUUGAACCUUUGUGUUCAUGCCCAUGGACCCAAUGUAGAACUUAUCUUGGAAGUUGCUCGUAAAAGUAAUUAUUUCUUUGGUACAAGCUCAUCUUGUAUCUAUGAAUUUAUCCUUUGCAACCGUGGUUCCGACCAUAUUUCCUCCUUGAUUCCAUUUAUCGGAUAAGUUAAAAUACUUAUCCUCUGCAAAUCAUUAGCCCCGUCCAACCUCUACUCCGAUUUACCUUCCGACAUUACCCCUAGUACUUGAUACUGGGAAGUUUUAUACCCCAUCACAUCAUUCCUAGCCUGAUCGGCUAUUUUUUUUAUCGUGUCUGAUCAUCCUCUCAAGAAAAAUGAAAUACUUGAUAAAUUUUAUAAUGGACUAACCGAUGCUUCCAGAGACCACCUGGAUAGUUGUGCUAGUUGUGUUUUCAGGGAAAGAAUUGUUGAUCAAGCUGAAUUGCUAUUGAAUAAUUUGUUGAGUAAUGAAAAUAAUUGGACACUUCCUGAACCGACUCCUAAGCCAACUCCGAAGAAAAGGGGUAUUCUAUUUCUCAGUCCUGAAGAUAUGCAAGAGGCAAAGAAAUCUAUGAAAGAAAAAGGUAUUAAAGCUGAAGAUGUUAAGAAUUUACCACCUAUUGAAGAAAUACAUGGUCUUGAUAACCCGACACAGGUAGUAAAGGUAAAUUCUCUCUAUAGAUUUGAUGAAGGUGAUAUUCCUUGUUAUAAGUCUGCUAGCCAAUGCUUAGAUGAGUUUGAUAAUUUUAUUGUUACACAAGAAAACUUCAAUGCUUAUGUUGGUAGAGGAUUGAAACGUAAUGCUUAUAUGAUUGAACACUUGAGUGAUUAUAUGUCUAGAGUUAAAGGUGAACUUAAACUUAUUAGUAAACAUGCUUCUAUGGUUACCACUCAAGUAGAACAAGUGCUUAAAGCUCAAAAUGAUUUGCUCAAUGAAUUAAAUAAUAAGAAAAAUGAUAAAGCUGUUAGAGUUAUGACUAGAGGGGGUAAAAUGACUCAGGAACCUUUGUAUCCCGAGGGCCACCCUAAGAGAAUUGAGCAAGAUUCUCAGAGAACUAAUGUUGAUGCACCUAGUCCUUCUAAGAAGAAGAAAAAGAAAAAUGAUAGGACUUUGCAUGCUUCUAGUGAACCUGUUGUUGACACAUUUGAGAAUCCCAAUGAUAUUUCUAUUUCUGAUGCUGAAACACAAUCUGGUGAUGAACAUGAACCUAGCGAUAAUGUUAAUGAUGAUGUUCAUGUUGAUGCUCAACCUAGCAAUAAUAAUGAUGUAGAAAUUGAACCUGCUGUUGAUCUUGAUAACCCACAAUCAAAGAAUCAAUGUUAUGAUAAAAGAGACUUCGUUGCUAGGAAGCACGGUAAAGAAAGAGAACCAUGGGUUCAGAAACCCAUGCCUUUUCCUCCUAAACCAUCCAAGAAAAAGGAUGAUGAGGAUUUUGAGCGCUUUGCUGAAAUGAUUAGACCUAUCUUUUUGCGUAUGCAUUUGACUGAUAUGCUUAAAAUGAAUCCUUAUGCUAAGUACAUGAAAGAUAUUGUUACAAAUAAAAGAAAGAUACCGGAAGCUGAAAUUUCCACCAUGCUUGCUAAUUAUACUUUUAAAGGUGGAAUACCUAAACUUGGAGAUCCAGGAGUACCAACUAUACCAUGCUCCAUUAAAAGAAACCAUGUUAAAACUGCUUUAUGUGAUCUUGGAGCCGGUGUUAGUGUUAUGCUUCUCUCUUUAUAUCGUAGACUUGAUUUGAAUAAGUUGACACCUACUGAAUAUCUUUGCAAAUGGCCGAUAAAUCAACUACUAUACCUGUCGGUAUUUGUGAGGAUGUGCCUGUAGUGGUUGCAAACGUUACUAUUUUAACGGACUUUGUUAUUCUUGAUAUUCCCGAGGACGAUAGUAUGUUGAUUAUCCUUGGUAGACCCUUUUGAAUACCGCAGGGGCUGUUAUUGAUUGCAACAAAGGCAAUGUCACUUUUCAUGUUAAUGGUAAUGAGCAUACGGUACACUUUCCGAGGAAACAACCUCAAGUCCACAGUAUCAAUUCUAUUGGAAAAAUUUCAACAAUCACUAUUGGAGGUUUUGAAUUUCCUCUUCCUACUGUCAAGAAGAAAUAUGACAUUCUUAUUAUUGGGGACGUGCAUAUUCCCGUUGAGGUAACCUAGUGUUAUUCGAAAAUUCUCCGAUUUCAUGCGAUUCGGAAUGAGUUUGUUAACAAGACUUGAUCAACCUUGUUAAUGGAUUCCUUUUGAUGAGCAUGAGAUGGAUGAAGUUAGAAAGCACAACUCUCUGUACCCUCCUUUUACUUUCUGUUAUUUAGAUUAAAUAAAGCAAAAAUAGUAUUUUCUGGCUGUUUUCUGAAUUAUCCUUGCAAUAAAAAAUACCCCAAAAAUAAAAGUUCUCCAAAUGCCCUAAAAUUGAAAUAUGAUUUUUUUCUAGAAUAUUUAAGAAUAUUUGGCACUGAGAACACACCAGGGGGAGCCACCACCUGGCCACGAGGGUCCAGGGCACGCCCACCCCCUGGGCGCGCCCCCUGCCUCGUGGGCCCCACGUGGCCCCCUCCACUUAUUCCAGGACCCACACACUUCGUCUUCCUCCAGAAAAAAUCACCACACAACUCAAACUCGUGUUCUAGCUUGUUUUGCUGCGAUUUUUGAUCUCCUUACUCAAAGCUCCACUCACAAAACUGCUUUGGGGGAUUGUUCUUCGGUAUGUGACUCCUCCAAUGGUCCAAUUAGUUUUUGUUCUAGUGUUUUAUUAAUUGAAAAUUUUUGUUGCUUAGGUGACCCUGUUCUUGAGCUUGCAUGUCAAAUUUAUUUGGUCCCAAGUAGUUCUAAUGCAUGAUAUAGUCUCUAGGCACUUGUGAGAGUAGUUGCUAUCAAUUUUGUUGAGUUUAGUUCACUUUUAUUUUGAGUCACUAAAAAUUUCAGAAAUUUUUCAGAGGAAGAAAAAUGUUUAGGAAAGUGUACCAAGGUGGUUCUUCAAGGAAGCAAGCACCAAGGCUCACGAUACGUGAGCCGGACUAUGAACUACCAAGAGAAGCUCAAGUACGGCCUUGUGA
rnacentral:lncRNA from 1 species